rnacentral:rRNA from 1 species
UUAGUGGAAGCGUCUGGAAAGGCGCGCGAUACAGGGUGACAGCCCCGUACACAAAAAUGCACAUAUUGUGAGCUCGAUGAGUAGGGCGGGACACGUGGUAUCCUGUCUGAAUAUGGGGGGACCAUCCUCCAAGGCUAAAUACUCCUGACUGACCGAUAGUGAACCAGUACCGUGAGGGAAAGGCGAAAAGAACCCCGGCGAGGGGAGUGAAAAAGAACCUGAAACCGUGUACGUACAAGCAGUGGGAGCCUCUUAAUGGGGUGACUGCGUACCUUUUGUAUAAUGGGUCAGCGACUUAUAUUCUGUAGCAAGGUUAACCGAAUAGGGGAGCCGAAGGGAAACCGAGUCUUAACUGGGCGUUAAGUUGCAGGGUAUAGACCCGAAACCCGGUGAUCUAGCCAUGGGCAGGUUGAAGGUUGGGUAACACUAACUGGAGGACCGAACCGACUAAUGUUGAAAAAUUAGCGGAUGACUUGUGGCUGGGGGUGAAAGGCCAAUCAAACCGGGAGAUAGCUGGUUCUCCCCGAAAGCUAUUUAGGUAGCGCCUCGUGAAUUCAUCUCCGGGGGUAGAGCACUGUUUCGGCAAGGGGGUCAUCCCGACUUACCAACCCGAUGCAAACUGCGAAUACCGGAGAAUGUUAUCACGGGAGACACACGGCGGGUGCUAACGUCCGUCGUGAAGAGGGAAACAACCCAGACCGCCAGCUAAGGUCCCAAAGUCAUGGUUAAGUGGGAAACGAUGUGGGAAGGCCCAGACAGCCAGGAUGUUGGCUUAGAAGCAGCCAUCAUUUAAAGAAAGCGUAAUAGCUCACUGGUCGAGUCGGCCUGCGCGGAAGAUGUAACGGGGCUAAACCAUG